rnacentral:rRNA from 1 species
GAUGAACGCUAACGGCAGGCUUAAUACAUGCAAGUCGACGGGUAGCAAGAUUGUAGCAAUACAAUUGUUGACGACCGGCAAACGGGUGCGGAACACGUACACAAACUUCCUACAGGUGGGGAAUAGCCCAGAGAAAUUUGGAUUAAUACCCCGUAACAUAGCGAUGUGGCAUCACAUUGCUAUUAUAGCUUCGGCGCUUGUUGAUGGGUGUGCGUCUGAUUAGAUAGUUGGCGGGGUAACGGCCCACCAAGGCUACGAUCAGUAGCUGAUGUGAGAGCAUGGUCAGCCAAACGGGCACUCAGACACGGGCCCGACUCGUAAGGGACGCAGCAGUAAGGAAUAUUGGACAAUGGACGCAAUUCUGAUCCAGCCAUGCCGCUUGAAGGAUUAAGCUCCUCUGGAUUGUAAACUUCUUUUAUAAGGGACGAAAAAAGGUCUUUCUAGAUCGUCUGACGGUACCUUAUGAAUAAGCACCGGCUAACUCCGUGCCAGCAGCCGCAGUAACAC